AUGGUUGCGAUCGCCAUAGCUAUUCCUGGACAAAUCCUCCGACCAGAACCAAAGGGUAACAGCUCAAAGCUAUGUCCUUUGUAACCCACAGGACAAUCUAUAAACCUCUCCGGGUUAAACUCCUCAGGGUUUCUCCAGUAUUUCGGAUCUCGUCCUAUCGACCAAGCGUUAACGAAAAGAAGUGUUUUCCGAGGAAUGUCAUAGCCUUGAAUCUUGAUAUCAGCCAUUGUUUCUCUUGGAAGUAAAAGAGGAGCUGCUGGGUGUAGUCUUAAGGUUUCUUUCACCACAAGCUUCAAGUAUUGAAGCUUAUCAAGAUCUUCUUCAAUAAUUCUUCCUUCUUGUUUAAUUCCAAUACAAGUUUGGAUUUCUUCUUGAACCUUUUUCAUCACUCUAGGGUUUCUAACGAGCUCUGCCAUCGCCCAAAUCAUUGUGAUGGCGCUUGUGUCUAUUCCAGCGUGAUAUAUAUUCUAGGUCAAGAAAAAGACUAAAUUAUUAAUUAAGGAUAUAUAGGUUAGAUUCAAAAAUCAUUAAGUAAAGAAAUUUGUUUGCUUACUGAGAGGACUCCUUUGAGGUGAUCAACGGUGAGCUUGAAAGAUGCAUAUUGUUGUUGAUUAUCUAUCAUAUCUAAGAUAGCGUCGACCAUAUCAGGACGAUCUUGAGUUGGUUUCUUCGAAUGAUGAUCAUCAACUAUAUGAUUAAAAAAAGUAUCAACCCUGGUGAAGACGUUGUAAAGCCUCUGAUGUUGGCCUGACACAAAGCCUAUAAACCAUUUAAGACCAGCAGUAGGGAAAAAAUCAGAGAAUCUGAAAGUCAUAUUGCUCUGAGAUUCAAACAUCAGUUCUUUGAUCCUCUCCUGAUCGAUAUGCUUGUUCUCAUAGAAACUCUGUCCAAAGGCGGUUCUGAAUAUGAUACUCGCUGUGAGACCAAAGAGGGUUUUGCUCAAGUCCACUGGAGAUUGCUUCGAAGCCAAUUCUCUCAGUUUCUUGGCCAUCAAGUCAUUCUCUUCCUCUCUAAUGUACCUGAAAGAUUGAACUUUUUUCACGCUAAAGAAUUCACGAACAGAAAGCUUACGCAGCUCUCUCCAUUCAUCACCAUAUACCCCGAAUCCGAUGUCUUUACCGUCCCGCGAGAAAACCCUUGCGGCGAUAGUGUUAGGUCUUGAACAACACUCAAGGUCAUGUGUUUUAAGAGCUUCUUCAGCUGCUUCACCCGAUGAAACUACGACCAUUGAUGCAAACCCUAGACGGAGAUGCAUCACUGGUCCGUGUUUCUUGGAGAGAUUGUGAAGACAUCUAUGAAGCAACCCUUGGAGCUGGUGUAGGUUUCCGAUGAUCGGAAGCUUUGCUGGGCCAGGAGGAAGAUUUGUUUUCGACUCUUUUAUCUUCUUGGUGAAGAUUAACGAGAAGAAAAUGGUGACGAAUAGAAGCAAGAAGAAAGAUAGAAGAAUCACCAUUAUUUUCGAUCCUCUGGUUUGUGCUCUGUUUUUUAGAUAGAGAAACAUUAAGACAAAACACUUAUUGUCGUCAGUGAGGAUAAGCUCGAGAUAAAGAUUGAGAGAGUGAGGCUUAAAAUUAAAGAUGAGUGUAAUUAAUUAACGCAUGGCGAAGAAAUGUAUUCGUAAUAAUAUACAUGUAUGAAAUUAUUUACCUGUAUAAAUCUUAUAAGAAAAAAAAUUAAGAAUUGAUACGUGGCAAAUUGAGAAGCUAUAGAUAGGAAAAUUAUAGUUGAAAAAUAUAGGGAAUUGUUUUUUAAAAGCUCUUUUUGGUAUGCUUCUUUUCAAAAUUGUUAUAUGUCUAUUUUCAAAAAAUCGUUAAUUUUGUUUUUUAUAAAAGUACUUAUUGAUGGUAAUUACUACUGAAAACUCGAUCCAAAUAUUUAUAAAGUUUAUAAGGUGUAGUCAUAAUGUCAAGUACUUCUGAGAAACUCAUACUUAUUUGCAAAUAUACAUGAAGUUAUAAAUGUGUAUGUUUUUUACUUAUGCAUCAGAAGUCAGAACAUGGUUUUGGAAACAGAGUUACAUAAAUUACAUUUUUUUUUAAAAAGACAGUCUGAUAACACAAAAAGAAGUUCCAGAAUGGUAAAAGAGUUCUGGUUGGGAUGAUUAUGUUUUUCUCGAAUAACUGGCAGAAGCUCAAGAGGAACUUUCUUAACAACAAUGACAUCACCAGCUUCUUCCAUGUCCAUAUCUUUCUUCUCCUCAGGCAAUUCCCAAUCAAAAAAGUAAAGCAAGUUCAAGAGUCCUAAUUCAAUGGUCGCAAUCCCAAAACUCAUUCCUGGACACAUUCUCCGGCCAGAACCAAAUGGUAACAUCUCAAAACUCUGUCCUCUGUAAUCCAUAGGAUCAUCGAUAAACCUCUCCGGGAUAAACUCCUCUGGAUUUUUCCAACGGUCAGGGUUUUGUCCGAUCGACCACGCGUUAACCAAAGGAAGAGUUUUUCAGGGAAUGUUGUAUCCUUGAAUAUUGAUUUGAGACAUUGUUUCUCUUGGAAGUAAGAGAGGAGCUGGUGGGUGUAGUCUUAAGGUUUCUUUGAUCACAAGCUUCAAGU
rnacentral:lncRNA from 1 species